rnacentral:rRNA from 1 species
UACAGAGGGUGCGAGCGUUAAUCGGAAUUACUGGGCGUAAAGCGCGCGUAGGCGGCUUUGCAAGUCGGGUGUGAAAUCCCCAGGCUUAACCUGGGAACUGCAUUCGAGACUGCAUUGCUAGAGUAUGGGAGAGGGAAGUGGAAUUUCCGGUGUAGCGGUGAAAUGCGUAGAUAUCGGAAGGAACACCGGUGGCGAAAGCGGCGCGCUGGACCUCUUCUGACGCUGAGGCGCGAAAGCCAGGGGAGCAAACGGG